AACGAACGCUGGCGGCAGGCUUAACACAUGCAAGUCGAGCGCCCCGCAAGGGGCGCGGCCGCCGGGUGAGUAACGCGUGGGAACGUACCUUUUGGUUCGGAACAACUCCGGGAAACUGGAGCUAAUACCGGAUAAGCCCUAACGGGGAAAGAUUUAUCGCCGAAAGAUCGGCCCGCGUCUGAUUAGCUAGUUGGUGAGGUAACGGCUCACCAAGGCGACGAUCAGUAGCUGGUCUGAGAGGAUGAUCAGCCACACUGGGACUGAGACACGGCCCAGACUCCUACGGGAGGCAGCAGUGGGGAAUAUUGGACAAUGGGCGCAAGCCUGAUCCAGCCAUGCCGCGUGAGUGAUGAAGGCCUUAGGGUUGUAAAGCUCUUUUGUCCGGGAAGAUAAUGACUGUACCGGAAGAAUAAGCCCCGGCUAACUUCGUG
rnacentral:rRNA from 1 species